rnacentral:rRNA from 1 species
GCAGUCUGAGAAACAAGUUAAUAAACUAAAACUUUCAACAACGGAUCUCUUGGUUCUGGCAUCGAUGAAGAACGCAGCGAAAUGCGAUAAGUAAUGUGAAUUGCAGAAUUCAGUGAAUCAUCGAAUCUUUGAACGCACAUUGCGCCCCUUGGUAUUCC